rnacentral:rRNA from 1 species
CCUACGGGUGGCAGCAGUGAGGAAUAUUGGUCAAUGGACGAGAGUCUGAACCAGCCAAGUAGCGUGAAGGAUGACUGCCCUAUGGGUUGUAAACUUCUUUUAUAUGGGAAUAAAAUGUUCCACGUGUGGGAUUUUGUAUGUACCAUAUGAAUAAGGAUCGGCUAACUCCGUGCCAGCAGCCGCGGUAAUACGGAGGAUCCGAGCGUUAUCCGGAUUUAUUGGGUUUAAAGGGAGCGUAGGUGGAUUGUUAAGUCAGUUGUGAAAGUUUGCGGCUCAACCGUAAAAUUGCAGUUGAAACUGGCAGUCUUGAGUACAGGAGAGGUGGGCGGAAGUCGUGGUGUAGCGGUGAAAUGCUUAGAUAUCACGAAGAACUCCGAGUGCGAAGGCAGUUCACUGGACUGCAACUGACACUGAGGCUCGAAAGUGUGGGUAUCAAACAGGAUUAGAUACCCGGGUAGUC